UACGGGGGGGGCAAGCGUUGUUCGGAAUUACUGGGCGUAAAGGGCUCGUAGGUGGCCAACUAAGUCAGACGUGAAAUCCCUCGGCUUAACCGGGGAACUGCGUCUGAUACUGGAUGGCUAGAGUUUGGGAGAGGGAUGCGGAAUUCCCGGUGUAGCGGUGAAAUGCGCAGAUAUCGGGAGGAACACCUAUGGCGAAGGCAGCUCGCUGGGACGGUACUGACGCUGAGACGCGAAAGCGUGGGGAGCAAACAGG
rnacentral:rRNA from 1 species